rnacentral:tRNA from 1 species
GGAAGUGUAAAGUCUGAGACCGGAAAACUUGAAAACCGUCGAAGGGGAGACUCUUCCGUGAGUUCGAAUCUCACCGCCUCCGCCA